CGCUGCGGCAUGCCUAACACAUGCAAGUCGAACGAGACCUUCGGGUCUAGUGGCGCACGGGUGCGUAACGCGUGGGAACCUGCCUUUAGGUUCGGAAUAACUCAGAGAAAUUUGAGCUAAUACCGGAUAAUGUCUUCGGACCAAAGAUUUAUCGCCUUUAGAUGGGCCCGCGUUGGAUUAGCUAGUUGGUGGGGUAAAGGCCUACCAAGGCGACGAUCCAUAGCUGGUCUGAGAGGAUGAUCAGCCACACUGGGACUGAGACACGGCCCAGACUCCUACGGGAGGCAGCAGUGGGGAAUAUUGGACAAUGGGCGAAAGCCUGAUCCAGCAAUGCCGCGUGAGUGAUGAAGGCCUUAGGGUUGUAAAGCUCUUUUACCCGAGAUGAUAAUGACAGUAUCGGGAGAAUAAGCUCCGGCUAACUCCGUGCCAGCAGCCGCGGUAAUACGGAGGGAGCUAGCGUUGUUCGGAAUUACUGGGCGUAAAGCGCACGUAGGC
rnacentral:rRNA from 1 species